rnacentral:ncRNA from 1 species
GAUUUUUUACCGCCGGGUAACGCUGAUUCCCAUUCCGUUAGGCCAUAGAAGGAAUGGAGAAGCAGCGUUUUUAUUU